CUCCUACGGGAGGCAGCAGUGGGGAAUCUUGCACAAUGGACGAAAGUCUGAUGCAGCAACGCCGCGUGGGGGAUGAAGCUUCUCGGAGUGUAAACCCCUUUCGACCCGGAAGAAUGCCCGCAAGGGUUUGACGGUACGGGUAUAAGAAGCCCCGGCUAACUACGUGCCAGCAGCCGCGGUAAUC
rnacentral:rRNA from 1 species